GACGAACGCUGGCGGCGUGCCUAAUACAUGCAAGUCGAGCGAGUCUGCCUUGAAGAUCGGAGUGCUUGCACUCUGUGAAACAAGAUACAGGCUAGCGGCGGACGGGUGAGUAACACGUGGGUAACCUGCCCAAGAGAUCGGGAUAACACCUGGAAACAGAUGCUAAUACCGGAUAACAACAGAUGAUGCCUAUCAACUGUUUAAAAGAUGGUUCUGCUAUCACUCUUGGAUGGACCUGCGGUGCAUUAGCUAGUUGGUAGGGUAACGGCCUACCAAGGCGAUGAUGCGUAGCCGAGUUGAGAGGCUGAUCGGCCACAUUGGGACUGAGACACGGCCCAAACUCCUACGGGAGGCAGCAGUAGGGAAUCUUCCACAAUGGACGCAAGUCUGAUGGAGCAACGCCGCGUGAGUGAAGAAGGGUUUCGGCUCGUAAAGCUCUGUUGUUGGUGAAGAAGGACAGGGGUAGUAACUGACCUUUGUUUGACGGUAAUCAAUGAGAAAGUCACGGCUAACUACGUG
rnacentral:rRNA from 1 species